rnacentral:rRNA from 1 species
AUUGAACGCUGGCGGCAGGCCUAACACAUGCAAGUCGAACGGUAACAGGAAGAAGCUUGCUUCUUUGCUGACGAGUGGCGGACGGGUGAGUAAUGUCUGGGAAACUGCCUGAUGGAGGGGGAUAACUACUGGAAACGGUAGCUAAUACCGCAUAACGUCGCAAGACCAAAGAGGGGGACCUUCGGGCCUCUUGCCAUCGGAUGUGCCCAGAUGGGAUUAGCUAGUAGGUGGGGUAACGGCUCACCUAGGCGACGAUCCCUAGCUGGUCUGAGAGGAUGACCAGCCACACUGGAACUGAGACACGGUCCAGACUCCUACGGGAGGCAGCAGUGGGGAAUAUUGCACAAUGGGCGCAAGCCUGAUGCAGCCAUGCCGCGUGUAUGAAGAAGGCCUUCGGGUUGUAAAGUACUUUCAGCGGGGAGGAAGGGAGUAAAGUUAAUACCUUUGCUCAUUGACGUUACCCGCAGAAGAAGCACCGGCUAACUCCGUGCCCGCAGCCGCGGUAAUACGGAAGGUGCAAGCGGUAAUCGGAAUUACUGGGCGUAAAGCGCACGCAGGCGGUUUGUUAGUCAGAUGUGAAAUCCCCGGGCUCAACCUGGGAACUGCAUCUGAUACUGGCAAGCUUGAGUCUCGUAGAGGGGGGUAGAAUUCCAGGUGUAGCGGUGAAAUGCGUAGAGAUCUGGAGGAAUACCGGUGGCGAAGGCGGCCCCCUGGACGAAGACUGACGCUCAGGUGCGAAAGCGUGGGGAGCAAACAGGAUUAGAUACCCUGGUAGUCCACGCCGUAAACGAUGUCGACUUGGAGGUUGUGCCCUUGAGGCGUGGCUUCCGGAGCUAACGCGUUAAGUCGACCGCCUGGGGAGUACGGCCGCAAGGUUAAAACUCAAAUGAAUUGACGGGGGCCCGCACAAGCGGUGGAGCAUGUGGUUUAAUUCGAUGCAACGCGAAGAACCUUACCUGGUCUUGACAUCCACAGAACUUUCCAGAGAUGGAUUGGUGCCUUCGGGAACUGUGAGACAGGUGCUGCAUGGCUGUCGUCAGCUCGUGUUGUGAAAUGUUGGGUUAAGUCCCGCAACGAGCGCAACCCUUAUCUUUUGUUGCCAGCGGUCCGGCCGGGAACUCAAAGGAGACUGCCAGUGAUAAACUGGAGGAAGGUGGGGAUGACGUCAAGUCAUCAUGGCCCUUACGACCAGGGCUACACACGUGCUACAAUGGCGCAUACAAAGAGAAGCGACCUCGCGAGAGCAAGCGGACCUCAUAAAGUGCGUCGUAGUCCGGAUUGGAGUCUGCAACUCGACUCCAUGAAGUCGGAAUCGCUAGUAAUCGUGGAUCAGAAUGCCACGGUGAAUACGUUCCCGGGCCU